GAUGAACGCUGGCGGCGUGCCUAAUACAUGCAAGUCGAGCGAACAGACGAGGAGCUUGCUCCUCUCACGUUAGCGGCGGACGGGUGUGUAACAUGUGGAUAACCUACCUAUCAUACUGGUAUAACUUCGGGAAACCGGAUCUUAUACCGGAGAAUAUAUUGAACCGCGUGGGUGAAUAGUGAAAUUCGGUGUUUCGGUAACUUAUAGAUGGAUCCGCGCCGCAUUGGCUAGUUGGUAAGGUCACGGCUUACCAAGGCGACGAUGCGUAGCCGACCUGUGAGAGGGAUAGGCCGCACGGGAACUGAGACACGGUCAAGAGUCCUAAGGGAGGGAGCAGAAGGGAAUCUGACGCAGUGGGCGAGAGUCUGACGGAGCAACGCGGAGCCAGUGAUGACGGCGUCCGGAUCGUAAAACUCGGUUAUUAGUGAAAAACAAAUGUGGAAGGAGACAUGGCCGGCUUGACGGUACCGAAUCAGAAAGCACCGGCUAACUACGUG
rnacentral:rRNA from 1 species